rnacentral:lncRNA from 1 species
GUGGGUUUUGUUUGUUUGUUUGUUUGGGGAUGUUAUGAAGCCCAAGCUGGCCUCAACCUUUGUUCUUUCUGCCUUCACCUCCCAAGUGCUGGGAUUACAGACGCGCUCAUGUUGACUCAUGGCUGGAGUUUCCUCUUUCUUUCUUUCUUUCUUUCUUUCUUUCUUUCUUUCUUUCUUUCUUUCUUUUUUUUUUUGACACAGAAUCUUAUGUAGCCCAGGAUAGCCUAGAACAUUUGUGUGUGUGUGUGUGUGUGAUUUAGUGUGGAGGAUGACCGUGAAUUCCCCCCUCACCUAAUGCUAUGAUUUCAGGCACCACCUACCAUCACACCUGUUUUGUUUUAUUUUUUAAUGUGGUGCUGGAGACUCAAACCUAGGGCUUCAUUCACACCAAGCAAGUACUCUACCAACUGAGCCACACCCCACCCAGCUCAGCGGCUUGAUUACAUAUCCUAGGGUUGGUCAAAGAUGAUUGCUCUGGGCUAUGAUUCAGACAUGCUCUCAGAGACCUCACCAGCUCCUGAUGUCAUCCCUGAAAAUGGGUCCUGAUGUGGCCUUUGUAUGAGAGACUAGGCAAGAAGCAGGACAUCUCUUGCCACCAUAGAGCUAGAAGGUCCAUAUCAACCCAACCCAGCCUAAUCAUACCAAGACUUGAAGGACUGACACAAUGGUGGAGAUAUCCGGACAGACGCCUUCAGUUCUCCGUCAAAACCCAAAGGACCUAUUUCCUCCGUGGCUGCUGGCAGGCUGUCAGACCGCACGAGGAUUACCUCCGUGGAAAAGAAUUCGAUCCCCUAAGGACAAGCCCGGCUACUGGAGAAGUCUGAAUCCGGACGCUGGCUGCUGCAGAAGCAGGAAGGCCGUGAGUUGGUAGCCAGUCUGACUCAUGCAGUGACACCCUGACUCCGGAAUAUAUAAAUUAUUAGCCAGGCAUGGUGGAGCAUUCUUGUAAUUCCAACACCAGGAGGAUCAGGAAGGAGUUCGAAGCCGUCCUUGGCUACAUAGCAAGUUCAAGCCCAGCCCGUGCUACAGGAGACAGAGAUGAUGUCUAAAAAGCUGAAAGAUAAAACAAGAAAAAAAAUGUAGAGUCAGU